UACGUAGGUGGCAAGCGUUGUCCGGAUUUAUUGGGUUUAAAGGGUGCGUAGGCGGCCCUGUAAGUCAGUGGUGAAAUACUCUAGCUUAACUAGAGGGGUGCCAAUGAUACUGCAGGGCUUGAGUACAGAUGAGGUAGGCGGAAUUGACGGUGUAGCGGUGAAAUGCAUAGAUAUCGUCAAGAACACCUAUAGCGAAGGCAGCUUACUGGGCUGUAACUGACGCUGAGGCACGAAAGUGUGGGGGAUCAAACAGG
rnacentral:rRNA from 1 species